GGCAGCCUGGCACGCACGGUGGAGCGCACCGACCUGAGCCGUCUGCAGGCUGCCGGCUGGCAGCCACCGUUGCCGUUCCACACCACCGGCCGCGA
rnacentral:tRNA from 1 species